GAUGAACGCUGGCGGCGUGCCUAAUACAUGCAAGUCGAGCGAACAGAUGAGGAGCUUGCUCCUCUGACGUUAGCGGCGGACGGGUGAGUAACACGUGGAUAACCUACCUAUAAGACUGGGAUAACUUCGGGAAACCGGAGCUAAUACCGGAUAAUAUAUUGAACCGCAUGGUUCAAUAGUGAAAGACGGUUUUGCUGGCACUUAUAGAUGGAUCCGCGCCGCAUUAGCUAGUUGGUAAGGUAACGGCUUACCAAGGCAACGAUGCGUAGCCGACCUGAGAGGGUGAUCGGCCACACUGGAACUGAGCCACGGUCCAGACUCCUACGGGAGGCAGCAGUAGGGAAUCUUCCGCAAUGGGCGAAAGCCUGACGGAGCAACGCCGCGUGAGUGAUGAAGGUCUUCGGAUCGUAAAACUCUGUUAUUAGGGAAGAACAAAUGUGUAAGUAACUAUGCACGUCUUGACGGUACCUAAUCAGAAAGCCACGGCUAACUACGUG
rnacentral:rRNA from 1 species